UACAUUUGCAAGUAUGUGAACAAAGGUA
rnacentral:piRNA from 1 species